CGGUGGAUGCGUAACGGAGAGGGGACGGCGGUUGCGAGCUGUGAUCUGGGAGCCUUCGCCAUUCCAAAGGCCAGGCUUCAGAGAGAGAGUGGGUGCAGAGGUCAAAGACUACGGCGGGACACCGAAACGGAGCCAGAGGACCGAGUUCUAAUCCCCGGCUCCGCCGCCUGCCUGCCGUGGGAUCCUGGGCAAGUCGCUUCACUUCUCCGGGCCUCGGUCUUCUCGUCCGUAAAACGGAGGUUCAAAACCUCACCCCGCCGGCCCCACCUCGCCGCCCCCGUCCCGGACGACCCGGUCCAGCGAGGGCAACGGUCUGUCUGCCCCAGACACGAACCCCCUUCUCAGCCACCGGGGAAACUGCUGGUUUCCCGCGCAAUCUUACCAGAGUGCUUUGGGAGUUCUUGUAUCUACUGAGCAUUUUCCUCUGUUUAAAACUGAGCAUCCGAGUCCCGUCUGCCUCCCGUUUCAGAAGUUUCCGGAGCCGAGGUGUUAUUUUUGGCUUGGGCUUGAGACGCACUCUGUAGGCGCCCAACACCAGGAACUGGAAACAGUAAGGACACACGUCUUUUGACUUCUUUUUGUCAGCUAAAAACCAAACAGAAGAAACCAGGCAGUCGGUCAGUCAGUACCGCCCCAAACUUCAGAACUCGGUAGAUAAUACGAAAAUGUAACUUGGGAACGAGAAAACAGAGCCACGCGUAUCUCAUUUGUCACUGUGGCGGAGAUGUUUCUUCACUGUUAAAAGUCAAAAGAAC